rnacentral:rRNA from 1 species
GACAGAGGGUGCAAACGUUGUUCGGAAUUACUGGGCGUAAGCGCGUGUAGGCUGCUCGGAAAGUCGGAUGUGAAAGCCCUGGGCUUAACCCAGGAAGUGCACUCGAAACUUCCGAGCUUGAGUUCUGGAGAGGGAAGCGGAAUUCUCGGUGUAGAGGUGAAAUUCGUAGAUAUCGAGAGGAACACCAGUGGCGAAGGCGGCGACCUGGACCAGAUAUUGACGCUGAGGUGCGAAAGCGUGGAGCAAACAGG